CAACCUGAGAGUUUGAUCCUGGCUCAGAACGAACGCUGGCGGCAUGCCUAACACAUGCAAGUCGAACGAGAAGCUAUCUUCGGGUAGUGGAAAGUGGCGCACGGGUGAGUAACGCGUGGGAACCUGCCCUAAGGUUCGGAAUAACGACUGGAAACGGUCGCUAAUACCGGAUGUGCCCUGAGGGGGAAAGAUUUAUCGCCUUGGGAGGGGCCCGCGUCCGAUUAGCUUGUUGGUGUGGUAACGGCGCACCAAGGCUUCGAUCGGUAGCUGGUCUGAGAGGAUGAUCAGCCACACUGGGACUGAGACACGGCCCAGACUCCUACGGGAGGCAGCAGUGGGGAAUAUUGGACAAUGGGGGCAACCCUGAUCCAGCAAUGCCGCGUGUGUGAAGAAGGCCUUAGGGUUGUAAAGCAC
rnacentral:rRNA from 1 species